UAUACUUUACGGCCUCCUUGGCACAGUGGUAAACGCCGUGGUCUUAUUAGCGGGAUGUCCCGGGUUCGAUUCCCGGUAGGGGUUUUGGAAUUUAAUAAUUUCAAAAUUUCUGGUCUGGUCUGAAAAGAAUAUUUUCCUUAGAAUGAUUU